rfam:Elusimicrobia bacterium GWB2_63_22 gwb2_scaffold_373, whole genome shotgun sequence.
AUCCUAACACAGCCUAAGCUGGCGCUACACGCGCCGGCGCGGGGGACCCAAAUCCCUGGCAGUACGCAGGGACGGGGCGCAGACAGCGGCAAACCCGUUGUCAGGCCACUUCCACGGCCCAGCCCGACAGCUAACCUCGUAGGCAUUUGGAAGGGUGAUC